rnacentral:miRNA from 1 species
GUGCCCAGCGCUGCAGGGCA